rnacentral:rRNA from 1 species
UACGGGGGGAGCAAGCGUUGUUCGGAUUUACUGGGCGUAAAGGGCGCGUAGGCGGCCAGCACAAGUCAGUUGUGAAAUCUCCGAGCUUAACUCGGAAAGGUCAACUGAUACUGUGCGGCUAGAGUGCGGAAGGGGCAACUGGAAUUCUUGGUGUAGCGGUGAAAUGCGUAGAUAUCAAGAGGAACACCUGAGGUGAAGACGGGUUGCUGGGCCGACACUGACGCUGACAGCGCGAAAGCCAGGGGAGCAAACGGG